rnacentral:rRNA from 1 species
CGAACGGGUGAGUAACACGUGGGCAACCUGCCCAAAAGAGGGGGAUAACACUUGGAAACAGGCGCUAAUACCGCAUAACCAUAGUUACCGCAUGGUAACUAUGUAAAAGGUGGCUAUGCUACCGCUUUUGGAUGGGCCCGCGGCGCAUUAGCUAGUUGGUGGGGUAAAGGCUUACCAAGGCAAUGAUGCGUAGCCGAACUGAGAGGUUGAUCGGCCACAUUGGGACUGAGACACGGCCCAAACUCCUACGGGAGGCAGCAG